UGGGGAAUAUUGGGCAAUGGGCGCAAGCCUGACCCAGCAACGCCGCGUGAGGGAAGAAGGCUUUCGGGUUGUAAACCUCUGUCCUUGGUGACGAAAAAAAUGACGGUAGCCAAGGAGGAAGCCCCGGCUAACUACGUGCCAGCAGCCGCGGUAAUACGUAGGGGGCGAGCGUUGUCCGGAAUUACUGGGCGUAAAGGGUGCGUAGGUGGCCUUUUAAGUUGGAUGUGAAAUACCCGGGCUUAACUUGGGGGGUGCAUCCAAAACUGGGAGGCUAGAGUGCAGGAGAGGAAAGCGGAAUUCCUAGUGUAGCGGUGAAAUGCGUAGAUAUUAGGAGGAACACCAGUGGCGAAGGCGGCUUUCUGGACUGUAACUGACACUGAGGCACGAAAGCGUGGGGAGCAAACA
rnacentral:rRNA from 1 species